rnacentral:rRNA from 1 species
ACUCCUACGGGAGGCAGCAGUGGGGAAUAUUGGACAAUGGGGGGAACCCGUGAUCCAGCCAUGCCGCGUGUGUGAAGAAGGCCUUAUGGUUGUAAAGCACUUUAAAGCGAGGAGGAGGCUACUGAGACUAAUACUCUUGGAUAGUGGACGUUACUCGCAGAAUAAGCACCGGCUAACUCUGUGCCAGCAGCCGCGGUAAUACAGAGGGUGCGAGCGUUAAUCGGAUUUACUGGGCGUAAAGCGUGCGUAGGCGGCUUUUAAGUCGGAUGUGAAAUCCCCGAGCUUAACUUGGGAAUUGCAUUCGAUACUGGGGAAGCUAGAGUAUGGGAGAGGAUGGUAGAAUUCCAGGUGUAGCGGUGAAAUGCGUAGAGAUCUGGAGGAAUACCGAUGGCGAAGGCAGCCAUCUGGCCUAAUACUGACGCUGAGGUACGAAAGCAUGGGGAGCAAACAGGAUUAGAUACCCCUGGUAGACUGUCA